rnacentral:rRNA from 1 species
CGCUGAAGAGAGGAGCUUGCUCUUCUUGGAUGAGUUGCGAACGGGUGAGUAACGCGUAGGUAACCUGCCUUGUAGCGGGGGAUAACUAUUGGAAACGAUAGCUAAUACCGCAUAACAAUGGGUGACACAUGUCAUUUAUUUGAAAGGGGCAAUUGCUCCACUACAAAAUGGACCUGCGUUGUAUUAGCUAGUAGGUGAGGUAACGGCUCACCUAGGCGACGAUACAUAGCCGACCUGAGAGGGUGAUCGGCCACACUGGGACUGAGACACGGCCCAGACUCCUACGGGAGGCAGCAGUAGGGAAUCUUCGGCAAUGGGGGCAACCCUGACCGAGCAACGCCGCGUGAGUGAAGAAGGUUUUCGGAUCGUAAAGCUCUGUUGUAAGUCAAGAACGAGUGUGAGAGUGGAAAGUUCACACUGUGACGGUAGCUUACCAGAAAGGGACGGCUAACUACGUGCCAGCAGCCGCGGUAAUACGUAGGUCCCGAGCGUUGUCCGGAUUUAUUGGGCGUAAAGCGAGCGCAGGCGGUUUGAUAAGUCUGAAGUUAAAGGCUGUGGCUCAACCAUAGUUCGCUUUGCAAACUGUCAAACUUGAGUGCAGAAGGGGAGAGUGGAAUUCCAUGUGUAGCGGUGAAAUGCGUAGAUAUAUGGAGGAACACCGGUGGCGAAAGCGGCUCUCUGGUCUGUAACUGACGCUGAGGCUCGAAAGCGUGGGGAGCGAACAGGAUUAGAUACCCUGGUAGUCCACGCCGUAAACGAUGAGUGCUAGGUGUUGGAUCCUUUCCGGGAUUCAGUGCCGCAGCUAACGCAUU